GGCGGUGUAGCUCAGCUGGUUAGAGCGGAGGAUUCAUAAACCUCAGGUCGAUGGUUCGAGUCCAUCCACCGCUA
rnacentral:tRNA from 1 species